GCACUCUUACCGUCACGCCUCUGGUGGCGAAAACUGAUAACUAAGAAAACCCCACGUAUAUGAAUAACCACUGCUAUUCGCUCUCCAACCACCGAGCGAGACACACGCAUACUUACUAGCAGUGACUAAAGACGUGAACACUAGUUCCUACUUUCGUUUUCCUUUGUUAUAAUUGUUAAGUUUGUCAUAUAUUUUGUAAGUCUUUUUUGAUACGUUCAAAAAUAAAAAUAUUCAUAUAAUAUUUUUCCCUAGUGAAUUAAUUAUUUUUAAUAUUGUUGAACACGCUACAGUUAAAUACCUACUAUUGCCCACUGGUGAUCAAAAUUCGAAGAAUGUAGCAUUAAUUCAUCAUGAAUGUUACUUUAUGAAAUAAAUUUUAUUUGAUUAAUCAAAUUGUUCCUUUAAAAAGGGAUAGCUUUGUACUUGAAAUGUUUAUUUAUAUUAAAUGGUAAGACAGCCACCACAUCAAUAAAGGUUGAAUAAUUGCUACAAAAAA
rnacentral:lncRNA from 1 species